UAACCAUUGUAUAAAGCAAUGCUGAACGCAUAGAAGUCAGCAGAGGUCAUAGUAGCCGAGAGGUGAAGGAC
rfam:[Eubacterium rectale] ATCC 33656 chromosome, complete genome.